UUGAUAUUUCUAUUUUUAUCUAUAUUUAUGUCUUAUGUUUGUUUUAUUUGCAUCUUUUAUUUUUCAGUUAUUUAUUUUUAUUAGUCUAAUAUUUGAUUUUUGUUUUUAUUUUUAUUUUUAUCUUUUAUUUUUACUUUUACAAAAAUUAUGCAAGCCAAUGAUGCUAGGAAAAUCACAAGAGUAAUGCUAUUCAGACCCCUCUAAGCCGAAAGACAAGAGAAGCCCAAACCAAAGGACCAAAAUCUGGC
rnacentral:lncRNA from 1 species